CCAUUCUCAUUUUGGUUUGUAUCUACUUUGCAAACCCAUAGUAGCUUGAGGAAUGCACAUGAACUGGGCAUAUUAUCCAUGUAAGUGAACAGACAUAACUUAACACUUGAAUAGCUGGCCCAUUUUGUUAUAAGACCAUCAGACCCAUUACUUUGAAAACCUAGCCCAUCACUUGGUUUUGUUCACUUAGAAGCUUUCAUGGUUGUGAGAGUAAGUUGUCGCCACCCCUUUCUUGCUCUGAGAGGCUCGACGCCGUGAGAGGAGAAGGGUCGACCUGCUGCUCAUCUCCGACGUCACCGGACGAGAAAUGUCACUGACUGGCUCUGCUUGGAAACAAACGGCACCGAAAAAAUGUGUCCAUCUUGUUCACCGAAUUGUCUACGCAUGAACAGGGCUCUAUUGCAUUCACCACUAGUGAACAGGUCCAACUUCUAACGUAGACAAACAGGUACUUGGGUUUGCUUGGUCCUCGAGGAGUCCGGUUUCUUUUACAAUCUGGUUAGGCCUCGUUCUUCAAAGUGUAUAAGGACAUGUUCAUCCCCAUUUGCUUCUGAUCUUAGGACCAAGUUCAUGCCUCCCAAGAAAUCAAGAGCGUUAAGGAAGAGGAAAAAGUUCGACUAUACGGAAAAAAAGCUUGGAAAUAUCUUUAGCUCAGAUGGUUUGUUGGGAAAACUUAUUCAGGAUCUUGUUUAUUUUCAUGUAAAUCAUAUACUAAAUAUAUUAAUAUAAGAAAACCUAUAACAUGUUUCUAAAAUUGAAUUCAUACAGAGAUAAUGAUAAGAACACUUACAUUAUUGUGCAACGGAAUGAUUGGGUCCUUCUUUCAA